UGUUCUACUAAUGGAAAUUAUCUAAUUUCAUCCAAGUGCAGCUCCAGAGAGAGCUGGGCUGACGCACAAACAGUCAAUAUAACAACAUUCUUCUUGAAGAGCUGAACAAUAGGGCUUUGGUGGGACUGUGAUUAACAACGUCAGACCGAGAACAAACAGAAGGUGUAAAAAUAGGCAUCUGAGGAGCUGACACAACGGACUAUUUUUCAUCUGUAAGGCCAGAGGAGAAUGGCUUGUUAAAUUGUGUGCUCGGAGCACUUCAUCAGAUGCCGUGUGGAAGAACAAAAAAAAAAAAAAAAUCCCAUUUCCCAUCUGGGUCUGAGUGUACGAAGGAACUGCACAUGCCUUAUUAAUAUAAAUCAUACUAGGAGCAUAAUUCCCAUUAGCAUUGAAGAGCCGUUUUUCAAUGAAAGACUCUUGCACCAGGAACACCUAAGGGGAAAUAACAAUGUUUGCUUCAUUUGAAGAGAAUAGUAAAAUACAGCCUGGGGACUGAGGAGGCAGAGAGCUGUUCCUUCUCUCCAACGCUACAGGUUUGGGGUUUCGAUGCAACUAUCAUGAGCCACCGCCUUCCCCACCCCCUCCCAGAAGCUGUAUCCACAUGUGGUGAAGAGGUGGGCAUCCAGAUGUGCCAGUCCAAGGAGUGGGACCAUGGGCACGUGUUGGCCCCCGGCCUCUGCAUUGCCCCAUGGGGAUGCGUUCCCUUUCCCUCAGUCCCAGCUCUCAAGGAAAGGAAGCUCUGGCCUUGAAACAUUAGACAACAUUUCCACCUCUGGUUAAGCAGGCCAUGUCCAUCGGUGCCACAUCUCCAUGGUUCUUGAACCCCUCCAGGGAUGGUGACUCCACCACCGCCCUGGGCAGCUUCACCGCUCUUCCUGAGAAGAAAUUUCUCCUAAUAUCCAACCAAAAAUGGUGGAACCCAUGGAAAUGGCUAAGAAUGAAGGGGAAGUUGGGGAGCUGGGUAAUGUCCAGCAUCCGAUGGGUGCGCAAAGCACAGGGAGGUGUUCCAAGAGGAGGAAACCUGGGACAGCUUCAGAGCACGGAAGGGAAAAGCCCUGUGGCUGAUCCCAGCCCAGCAGCCGACCCUGAGCUCCAGGAUGAAUGAGUGCCUCGGGGAGCUGAGAAAUGAGACAACACAGUGAGAAGAGGACAGUGAGUGCAGACACUGCCAGUACCGAACCUUUGGAAUUCACUGCUGCACGACGGAUAGCCAACGACUCGUGGUGAUGUGCUCUAGCAGAAGGAAAAUCAAAGUGCCCUUUUAUAACUGUUCAGAUAUAAAGUGAAGGGCAUCCAGCCCCCUGACACCAGCAUGGAGAAUGAUGUGUGGGAGGGACUGUGGGAAAUGACCUCACCAUGCACGGCCAUGCCCACUGGCCGUGUUUCCAUCACACAGGGCACAGAGCAAGUGGGCAGUGCCCAGGGAGAGGACACAUCUCUUUUGGGCAGAUGGGUCCCAUUAGGGUUCUUUAAAGGCAGCAAUGGCACCAUUCUGCAGAGGUGUGCUCCUAGCAAGGAAGGCACUGUUUUAAAGCCCACCAGGCUGGUGCUCUCUGUGUUUAAGUCCACUCAGAGCAUGGAAGGAGGGCUGGAAGAAAACCAAUAAUUACUCUCAGAUAAAAUUAGUUUUACAAAGUGAUUUUCUUCUAGAAUCUUGGAUUCACACACGGGCUGCCUGUACUGUAGAUAUACCUGCAUUCUGAUAGCUCUAUUUCCAGUGUUCCUGCAUUUCUGACUGCUGUUGGCAAGAAGCUGUAGAUUGUUUCUCACACAGUUUUCUUAUGCAGUCUUUAGUGUCUCCUCCAAUCCUGGAUGUCCUUUAAACAUUGCACCUUUAAGGUACUGCUACUGCAGGGGCCACAGCAGGAGGCAUUACUGCACAAACCAGAUGAGUAUGGGGGAUUUAGGUGGAGUUACUCCAAUUAAACCACUGGAGAAUGCCCUGCUCUAGGAAUGGCAACUGCCCUAUUAAAGCAAGCUGGGUGUGUGCAUCCCAGCAGCUGUGCAGGAGCACAGCACAGUGGGGCAGCACUGCUGCCGUGUCUCCUCUCAUCAGCUGCUGGGGCUAAUUGCAGGGGCUCUCUGCAGACCUCUCAGCUUGUGUGGCCUGGAAAAUCCCAGGGACAAUCUUCAGGCAGUGCACAGGUGGGGUAACCCAUGGAGCCUGCAAUGCCAAAGCAGAGAGUUUGGGGAAUGGUGGCAGAAAAGCUUUUCUUCCAGGUGGAGUUAAUCCUCUGCAUGCUGACACCCCUGGGGGAGGGAGCAGGCAGGCAGGGUUGGAGAAAAUUUGGGAGACUGCUGUUUCAACUUUGAGCAGCUUAAACACAAACCCUACAGCACCAAGGGAUCGCAGCUCCAAAUGCCUGAAAAUGGGCUUCCCAAAGGCUGGCACACAGAGCAGAACUGCCUGACCCAACUGCAAGGAAACUCUGAGGAAGGGACCAUCUUGACCCGGCUGUCCCGCAGCAGGCAGCUUCCUUUCCCAGGGCUGUGGGGAUGCUAGUUAUUACCCUGGUGUUUUUAAAAAUAGGAUUGAUGUAGCUGCAAGUUUUCAUGAAAAAUAAAGAGAAAUAAAGGAAUGAAGAACGAAAGAGAAGAUAGAAAAAGGGGAAGAAAGGAAGGAAGGAAGAAAAGAAAGAAAAAGAAAUGAAGAAAGAAACGAAACAAAUGAAGAAAGAAGGAAAAAAAGGAAAGGAGGGAAGGGAAAGGAAGGGAAAGAAAGAAACGAAGAAAGGAAAGAAAAAGAAAGGAAGGAAAGAAAGAAAAAGAAAUGAAGAAAGAAGAGAAAGAAAUGAAAAGUGAAAAGAAAGAAGUGAAAAAGAAAUUUAAAAAAAAUGAAGAAAAGGACAGGAGAAAGAAGGAAGGAAGGGAGGAAGAAGAAGGGAAGAAAGGAAGGAAGGAAGUAUGAAAGGAAGAAACAAAGGAAGAAAAAAAUAGGAAAUAAAGUAGGAAAGAAAGGAAGAGGGAAAGAAAGUAAGGAAGAAGGGAAGAAGGAAAAAGAAAGAAAAGAAAGAAGGGAAAAAAAGAAAGAAAGAAGAAGGGAAGAAAGAAAGAAGGAGUGCGAAGGGCCGUGGCACAGCGGUGCCGUCGCGGAGCGGCGCGGAGCAGCGCGCAGCCCCAGCGCUGUGCCCUCGGCAGGUGGCGGCAGAGCGCGGCCGUGGGCCGGGGGGGGCCGGGGGUGUUCGGGCUGCGCUGCACCAGGGGGAUCCGAGGGGCCGUGCGAAGCGAUUGAAAAAUGAAGUCUUCUAGAGAAAGCAGGAGUUUUGAUUUGCAAUACACAAGGGCGGAUUUGCGUCACCCAAGCAACUUGCUGGUCGAGAUAAAGUUGCACAAAUAUUGAAAAGGGAAGUGCUCGCGCUCAUUAUGAAGUUUUUCUCCGGAAGAAAUAAGGAUUUCUGCUGUAUCCUAAAAUACUGAAGCCGCUUCUAUUUUAGGACAAAUCUCGCAGGCACAUCCGCUCAUUUAGUCCGAGUUGGAACCUCUCGAAAAAACAGGAGAUGACCCGGGCUGCAGCCGAGCCCCGCGCUUCCUGCAGCCUUCGGGCACCGCUGCGCACGGGCUGCGCGGCCGCGCAAAGCUGCGCGCCCC
ensembl:lncRNA